UACGGAGGGGGCUAGCGUUGUUCGGAAUUACUGGGCGUAAAGCGCACGUAGGCGGCUUUGUAAGUUAGAGGUGAAAGCCCAGGGCUUAACCCUGGAAUUGCCUUUAAGACUGCAUCGCUAGAAUUGUGGAGAGGUAAGUGGAAUUCCGAGUGUAGAGGUGAAAUUCGUAGAUAUUCGGAAGAACACCAGUGGCGAAGGCGACUUACUGGACACAUAUUGACGCUGAGGUGGCGAAAGCGUGGGGAGCAAACACGG
rnacentral:rRNA from 1 species